AUUGAACGCUGGCGGCAUGCCUUACACAUGCAAGUCGAACGGCAGCACGGGUGCUUGCACCUGGUGGCGAGUGGCGAACGGGUGAGUAAUACAUCGGAACGUACCUUAUCGUGGGGGAUAACGCAGCGAAAGCUGUGCUAAUACCGCAUACGCCCUGAGGGGGAAAGCGGGGGAUCGCAAGACCUCGCGCGAUUAGAGCGGCCGAUGCCUGAUUAGCUUGUUGGUGGGGUAAAAGCCCACCAAGGCGACGAUCAGUAGCUGGUCUGAGAGGACGAUCAGCCGCACGGGGACGGGGACACGGCCCAGACUCCUACGGGAGGCAGCAGUGGGGAAUUUUGGACAAUGGGGGCAACCCUGAUCCAGCAAUGCCGCGUGAGUGAAGAAGGCCUUCGGGUUGUAAAGCUCUUUUGUCAGGGAAGAAACACCGGCUCUAACACAGUCCGGGAAUGACGGUACCUGAAGAAUAAGCACCGGCUAACUACGUGCCAGCAGCCGCGGUAA
rnacentral:rRNA from 1 species